AGCGGACGCUGGCGGCAGGCCUAACACAUGCAAGUCGAACGAACUCUUCGGAGUUAGUGGCGGACGGGUGAGUAACACGUGGGAACGUGCCUUUAGGUUCGGAAUAACUCAGGGAAACUUGUGCUAAUACCGAAUGUGCCCUUCGGGGGAAAGAUUUAUCGCCUUUAGAGCGGCCCGCGUCUGAUUAGCUAGUUGGUGAGGUAAAGGCUCACCAAGGCGACGAUCAGUAGCUGGUCUGAGAGGAUGAUCAGCCACAUUGGGACUGAGACACGGCCCAAACUACUACGGGAGGCAGCAGUGGGGAAUCUUGCGAAAUGGGCGAAAGCCUGACGCAGCCAUGACGCGUGAAUGAUGAAGGUCUUAGGAUUGUAAAAUUCUUUCAACGGGGACGAUAAUGACGGUACCCGGAGAAGAAGCCCCGGCUAACUUCGUG
rnacentral:rRNA from 1 species